AGAGUUUGAUCCUGGCUCAGGAUGAACGCUAGCUACAGGCUUAACACAUGCAAGUCGAGGGGCAGCAUGGUCUUAGCUUGCUAAGGCCGAUGGCGACCGGCGCACGGGUGAGUAACACGUAUCCAACCUGCCGUCUACUCUUGGACAGCCUUCUGAAAGGAAGAUUAAUACAAGAUGGCAUCAUGAGUCCGCAUGUUCACAUGAUUAAAGGUAUUCCGGUAGACGAUGGGGAUGCGUUCCAUUAGAUAGUAGGCGGGGUAACGGCCCACCUAGUCUUCGAUGGAUAGGGGUUCUGAGAGGAAGGUCCCCCACAUUGGAACUGAGACACGGUCCAAACUCCUACGGGAGGCAGCAGUGAGGAAUAUUGGUCAAUGGGCGAGAGCCUGAACCAGCCAAGUAGCGUGAAGGAUGACUGCCCUAUGGGUUGUAAACUUCUUUUAUAAAGGAAUAAAGUCGGGUAUGCAUACCCGUUUGCAUGUACUUUAUGAAUAAGGAUCGGCUAACUCCGUGCCAGCAGCCGCGGUAAUACGGAGGAUCCGAGCGUUAUCCGGAUUUAUUGGGUUUAAAGGGAGCGUAGAUGGAUGUUUAAGUCAGUUGUGAAAGUUUGCGGCUCAACCGUAAAAUUGCAGUUGAUACUGGAUAUCUUGAGUGCAGUUGAGGCAGGCGGAAUUCGUGGUGUAGCGGUGAAAUGCUUAGAUAUCACGAAGAACUCCGAUUGCGAAGGCAGCCUGCUAAGCUGCAACUGACAUUGAGGCUCGAAAGUGUGGGUAUCAAACAGGAUUAGAUACCCUGGUAGUCCACACGGUAAACGAUGAAUACUCGCUGUUUGCGAUAUACAGCAAGCGGCCAAGCGAAAGCGUUAAGUAUUCCACCUGGGGAGUACGCCGGCAACGGUGAAACUCAAAGGAAUUGACGGGGGCCCGCACAAGCGGAGGAACAUGUGGUUUAAUUCGAUGAUACGCGAGGAACCUUACCCGGGCUCAAACGCAGGGGGAAUAUAUAUGAAAGUAUAUAGCUAGCAAUAGUCACCCGCGAGGUGCUGCAUGGUUGUCGUCAGCUCGUGCCGUGAGGUGUCGGCUUAAGUGCCAUAACGAGCGCAACCCCUAUGGACAGUUACUAACGGGUGAAGCCGAGGACUCUGUCUAGACUGCCGGCGCAAGCCGCGAGGAAGGUGGGGAUGACGUCAAAUCAGCACGGCCCUUACGUCCGGGGCGACACACGUGUUACAAUGGCAGGUACAGAAGGCAGCCAGUCAGCAAUGACGCGCGAAUCCCGAAAACCUGUCUCAGUUCGGAUUGGAGUCUGCAACCCGACUCCAUGAAGCUGGAUUCGCUAGUAAUCGCGCAUCAGCCAUGGCGCGGUGAAUACGUUCCCGGGCCUUGCACUCACCGCCCGUCA
rnacentral:rRNA from 1 species